rnacentral:lncRNA from 1 species
GGCAAGGGUAAUUUCAGUGUAGGAAAGGAUGAAACAGCGUCUGUGCCACCAGACCUGAGCCCUAGGACCAUGCCUCAGGACUACCUGGUAUGAUGACUCCUUGCUGUCCCCAGUCCACCUGGCCGUGCUGCUGCUCCAGUUUCAACUGUUCUGCCUGCGGCUAUGGAACCCUGACCUGUUCACCGGACGUGCUUGUUGCACCCUCGACAACUACUAUGAUUAUUAUUAUUUGACCAUGCUGGUCAUUUAUGAACAUUUUAACAUUUUAACAUUUUGACCAUGUUCUGUUUUAAUAUCCACCCUGCACAGCCAGAAGAGGACUGGCCACCCCUCAUAGCCUGGUUCCUCUCUAGGUUUCUUCCUAGGUUUUUGGCCUUUCUAGGGAGUUUUUCCUAGGGAGUUUUUCCUAGCCACCGUGCUUC